CUUGACCGAGCCGAGGAGCAGCGGCUGCCCGGGCUCCCUGUCCUGGCCGUAGGUGGUGAGCAGGGCCUGCGCCUC
rnacentral:antisense_RNA from 1 species